GACGAACGCUGGCGGCGUGCCUAAUACAUGCAAGUAGAACGCACAGUUUAUACCGUAGCUUGCUACACCAUAGACUGUGAGUUGCGAACGGGUGAUUAACGCGUAGCUAACCUGCCUGGUAUCGGUGGGUAACUAUUGGAAUCGAUAGCUAAUACCUCAUAAUAUUGAUUAUUGCAUGAUAAUUAAUUGAAAUGUGCAAUUGCACCACUACCAGCUGGAUCUGCGUUGUAUUAGCUAGUAUGUGAGGUAACGGCUCACCUAGGCGAAGAUACAUAGCCGAACUGAGAGGGUGAUCGGCCACACUGGGACUGAGAAACGGCCCAGACUCCUACGGGAGGGAGCAGUAGGGAAUCUUCGGCAAUGGAGGAAAGUCUGACCGGGGAAAGCCGCGGGAGUGAAGAAGGUUUUCGGAUCGGAAAGAUCCGUUGUAAGGGGAGAAAGGGUGGGAGAGUGGAAAGUUCACACUGUGACGGUAUCUUACCAGAAAGCGACGGCUAACUACGUG
rnacentral:rRNA from 1 species